ensembl:lncRNA
AUGAAAUGAAUUGAAAAUGAGAAGGUUGGGUGGGAUGAUCUCUGUGGUCUUUUCCCACCUCCAUGAGCAGUGUUUGCUUUCCCAGCUCCUUCCCCGGCAGCCCACAGCAGACGUCUGGGGGGAGCAGCACUGCUUGCCUCUUGAAGGGUGAUUUCAUGGCCAGGCCGGGAAUGUGCGCCGCGUCCCUCUGCCACGGGGCAGAGAUGCUGCUGGAGGAGGUUCUGCUCAUCUGCUGUGCUCCUGAGAUGGGCACCCUCUGCACCGCCAAGGGGCCUGCUGCUGGCUCUGAGCGCUGUGUGCUGCUGGACAGCCGGCUGUGCUCGUGCUGUAGGGGGGCCAUGCGGUUUGGCAAGGGGCUGAAUGGGGACCCAGCACCAUCUGCAGCACAGAGCGGGCGUGAGACCCCCAGAGCCCCAGAGCUGGCCUUGGGCAAACAGGGAAACCCAACCCACAGCGAGCCCUGCGCAUGGACAGGGCUGUGCCUGGCCAUGGCCACAAGCCCAGGUCUGCGGGAGUGGGGACCCAGGUGGAAUGCUGUGCCAUCUCUGCAUCUGCAGCACCACAAACACAGCCCAUACACACAUCUGGGCUUUCCUUGGAACCCCGUGGCUUUUGAAGGCUGUGUCAGCUCAGUGAGCAGCUCCUCCAGCUUGGGGCAUCCUCCUUGGGGAUGCAGUCAGUGGCAGGGAGAACAAACAGACAGCACCGGGGCAGGAAUGGUGUGUAAGGUAGAACCCAGGGUGGAUUCGGGAACAGAUACAGGCAGGGAGUUGAAAGUCACACGUGGAGGCGUGAGGGAGACAUUAGGUUUGCCAUCAAAGGCUCAUCCCCAUGGUCUGGGCAUCCAAGACCAUUUUGCUUAAUUACAUCCUGAAAGUGUGCAAAAGAAGUGCUGGGAGAGAGGAUUUCACAGCAGUCCUGCAGGCUGGAGGGAGGGGAACUGCAGAGGAGGAGGCUGAAGUGCUCCUGUCCCAACCAGAGAAACAGCCAGGGCCGUGCAAACGGGCAGAAGAGCCCCGUGGUGCCCAGCCCAGCCCAGAAGAGGGCCGAGGGAAGAGCCAGCAUCACCCCGCACUGCACUGCACACCCAUACACGUUCAUGCUCCUAAUCGUAUCCAGUUCCAGGUUAGUAAUGAGCAGAGUUGCCUGAGCAUCGCAGGGGCAUCGUGGGAGCUCUGAAACAAGUACAGGAUCAGCAAGGAAAAUAUCUGAUGGCGAUUACAGCAACCAGGUUGGGAACCAGGCAGGAGGAAUUGUUCAGCAUGGUUUGGGGCCGACACUCAGCCUGGGGAAGUGCUGCAUGCAGAACGUGAUCCAUCACAGCUCCUGCUGAAUCCCCCCAAAGGGGAAAUGUGGAGCACUCAGUCCAAGCUGGUGGGGUUGUGAUACACUGGGAAGGAGCAGACUCGUGUCUUCCAGGAGCUGGAAGUCUUCCUCCAACAGAGGCAGCCCAGGAUGAAUGGGCGCUGGGAGGGGCGGCCUUUGGGCACAGGGGAGGUAGGGGCAGUGCCAAGGCUGUGUGAGCAGCCCCAUUUGCACAGGGAAGGAGCAUCCCUGGGUGUACGUUUCCCUGGGAAGGGCACCAGGCGCAGGCAGCGGGGAGCAUUCAGCAGGGGAUGGCCACACAGCACAGGGUCACAUCUCCUGAGUUCUUCACCCUCUGCUCUCGUCUUUCCCCCCUCCGUCUCCCUGUGCUCUGCAACUUCCUGGCCAUCCUCCCCCACCGUUUCCCAUUACUUCCUCUCCCUCCCCUUCCUGCCCCUUCCCAG